rnacentral:rRNA from 1 species
GCGUUGGCCCAAUUGAUUGAUGGUGCUUGCACCUGAUUGAUUUUGGUCGCCAACGAGUGGCGGACGGGUGAGUAACACGUAGGUAACCUGCCCAGAAGCGGGGGACAACAUUUGGAAACAGAUGCUAAUACCGCAUAACAGCGUUGUUCGCAUGAACAACGCUUAAAAGAUGGCUUCUCGCUAUCACUUCUGGAUGGACCUGCGGUGCAUUAGCUUGUUGGUGGGGUAACGGCCUACCAAGGCGAUGAUGCAUAGCCGAGUUGAGAGACUGAUCGGCCACAAUGGGACUGAGACACGGCCCAUACUCCUACGGGAGGCAGCAGUAGGGAAUCUUCCACAAUGGGCGCAAGCCUGAUGGAGCAACACCGCGUGAGUGAAGAAGGGUUUCGGCUCGUAAAGCUCUGUUGUUAAAGAAGAACACGUAUGAGAGUAACUGUUCAUACGUUGACGGUAUUUAACCAGAAAGUCACGGCUAACUACGUGCCAGCAGCCGCGGUAAUACGUAGGUGGCAAGCGUUAUCCGGAUUUAUUGGGCGUAAAGAGAGUGCAGGCGGUUUUCUAAGUCUGAUGUGAAAGCCUUCGGCUUAACCGGAGAAGUGCAUCGGAAACUGGAUAACUUGAGUGCAGAAGAGGGUAGUGGAACUCCAUGUGUAGCGGUGGAAUGCGUAGAUAUAUGG